AGCAUAUGCAUGAAAGUUGCAGGUAACUGUCCAAACACAGAUGUAUUUUUUAGUUGUUGACUAUCUGAGGAUUUGCUUUGAUUUUGAUGCCUGCACACAGAGUACGAAGAGAGUGAAGAUUAAACCUCUUUUCUUAUUGGUGCCUGUUCAGGUGCUGUAGUAAACCUUGUUUAUAUUCAGUUUAUGAGGAAUCUAUUAUGAUAUUUUGGGUUAUUGUUGGGUCUUUUGACCUGUUUCUCAUCCUGCUGCUCCAUGUUUCCUUCACAGCUUGUGGAAAGAGGCUGUUUUUCAUUCUGGUUGUUUGUUUUUAGUGGUGUUUUGUCCAGUUGAGUGUUUGUGAAGAGGGAUUAUAGUAGGGGAACGAGGAAGCAGCCCUGAGGAGUUCUGGUGACCAGGAUGAGAGGAGAUGAGAUGUGGGUUUUUAUCCUGACAUGUGGUGGUCUGGCUCAGAGAGGAUCAAUGAUGAUGAUCAAAGAGAUAUUUUAGCUUUUUUUGAUACCGUCCACCAAUUUGAGCAGAUACGACUCACGGCUUAAGGUUUAAAAUAAUUAACCAUGAUAUUAAACUGUCUACAUCUUUCAAUAUUAAUUUGACAAGACCUGAGAUUGGGAUCAAUUUAUAACAUGAUUAUUUUUGUCAGAACCGCUGAUCCCACUGUGAGGGUCCAGAGUUUUGACUCCAUUUGUUUGUGUGUUUCAGGUUCCCAUUCUCUUGAGUUCUUGUCUACAGGACGUGUUCAGCCUGGAUCUGGGCCCCAUUUUGAACAAGUUACAGAGUUUGAUGGAGUUGUGAUCUCUCACUGUGACAGUGGGACACAACAAGAACACUUCAAACCCGUCCUGGAACCCCACAACUUACCUGGGACCUGCACAGCAGCAUUUUAUGAUGUUUUUGAUGCUCUCAAAGAGAUUUCUAAAUUCAUCAAUCACACACGGAAUGUUCAGCGGCGGCGUGGCUGCAUCACGUCAGACAAGAGGCUUGAAUCUGCUUUUGACAACUGGGCAGUGAAUGGAGAGGGUUUCAUUCAGUUUGAUGCUGGAGCUCAGAAAUGGAAAGCCCUGUCUCCUUCUGCAGAAAUGAUUAAAGAUUCGUGGAACAACCGUGAGGCUCGGAACCAUUUCUUUGGACAAUUCAUCAAUGAAGAAUGUCCAGAAAUGAUCCAUCAGAUCAAAUUAAGAGAAGUGGAAAAAAGAACAGAUCUCCGUGUGUUUGCCAACCCUGUUGAUUUAACCAGGGCAUUGCUGAAGUGCCACGUCACAAGUACUGACAAAUCAGUGCGUUCAGUGUCUCUGACUGAAGACGGGGCCACCAAGGCAAACUGGAUCACUGUAACUGGCCCGUUGCCUUCUGGGGAUGGAUCAGUGAUCCUCAUCCUGACAGCUGAGGUCCCCCUGAUCCACACCAACAUCUAUGGCUGUGUUGUCCAAACAGAAGACAGAACCAUCACUGUCAUGUGGGGUGAGAACUUUACAUUUACAUACUGCUGCAUGAUUGUUAUUGAGUCGUGAUCCAGGCUGCACACAGGCCAGUGGGAUCUUAUUGUUGCUGGGGGGGUUCUGGUGUGUUGGGUACUCUGGUAAAAGUCCCUCAUGAAGAAGCUCUGAAACGUUCCUGGUGAUUCUCUGGUCUUCCUCCGUCUGAAAGCAGACCUUUUGGAUCUUUUCUGGCUGAGAUUACAGCAGUGUUGGUCAUUAACUCUGUCAGAAACGGCUGUUUCGAUGCUGUUGAAACUUAUUUGAGACUUAUUUUUUUGUCUCUCCACAAGGUUUUUUUUGGCCCAUUUAAUUAACAGAACAUCCAGAAAGAAACGAGCUACUACAGAGUUACAAUUUGGUACAGGCAGUGGAAUGCACAGAAUCACCCUCUGCCAGCAGGGGGCGCUGCAGCAGCUCAGCACCCACCUUUCUAUCGUCUUGGCACAGAAUUAUCAGUGCGCAACGUUGAGCUUCAGUCUGUGUCCAGGCCUCAGACAACUGUCGGCAUUUCACGUUGGUCCAGACAGUUAAUAAAUGUAACAGUUGAAAUACUCUAAAUAGAGUCAGUCACACUUUCUGUUAUUCGGAGCACAGCUUUCAAAAUAUUAAAAAUAAGUUUAUUACAAUAACACAUAUGACGACAUGCUGCAUAGAGUAAAGUAUGGCCAGUUUGGUGAUUACAAUAAUCAUGUUUUUGUUGUUUAUACUCUUUUAUGAGCAGAUGGAAACACACUUGAUGGACGACACAUCCUUUACAUCCAGAUGACGUUUUGGAGAAUUAUCGGCAUCAUCUUUACAGUUUGUUGUUUAAUCUCCGUAAUGACUCUUUUGUGUAAGUCUCACUUCUUUGAUAGUAACUUUCAAGUCAGUCUGUGAGCUGAUAUUUUACUAUUGUGGCCCUGCAUUAAUAGAAUGUUAAUGAUGUUUCUUGUGAAAUACACCUGUCAGCAUCUAUUAAUUGUUUCCUUCAUUUUAUUUCUUCAUAGUCACAAGAGAGGAAAAAGUGGUGAAGGAAACUUAACUCAUGAGUCCAUUGAAGAAUAACUGGGGGAAGAUGGAUUUUAUCCACGGAGGACUUGAGGCAGAGACGACAUCAAUGAUCCAGGAUGUUUUACUCUUCAUGCUGAAAGUGCACGUCUAUAAAGUCACAUGUGCUGUAAUAUUUGGACUGUGUUGUCAUCCAGUAGCAGAGCUUUGGGACUUAUGCUACUGACACGGUCUAACCUUCACUGACUGUCAUCUUUUUUAAGAAGCCAAGAAGGCCAAACUAUGGAAAACUUUAGCAUUUUGACGCUAAAUUCAGUGUUAAUGAUCUUGAGCUUCUUAAUCAGAGCUUAACACUCAUCUUUCAAAACUGCCGUUAAACACCUCGUAAUGCUGUCACGUUUAUGUCUGGUUUCAUUUAUUUUUGUGUUAUUUACUCAUUCAUCUCUCCUCUAUUUUGUUUGCGUCAUUAUUUAUUUUAUGUAAAACACUGGUUAACGACUGGGCAUUAUAAAAAUCUUAUGUUGUUGAAUGUAUGAUGACUUUAUUUCUGUUUCUGAAAGACUCUGAGUUGUUCUUUUAAUAAUUUAACAAAUUCAUGUGAAAACUGGUCCACUUAUAUUCUAUUGAAAAUGAUAAAUUGUUUAACAGUGUUUGGGGAAAAUAAUUUGCAGAACUUGAUAUGUGAAAUCAUUAAUAAUGGAAAAAAAAAAAGAAACUCUUAAAUGUUUGUAAAUAUUGUAUGUUUUUACUUCCUGCAAUAAAUGAAUUUUAUUUUUGUUAAGAGCCUGUGUGAUAAUGUUCAUUUUCAUUACAUGAGGAAAUGUCUGAUUAGAUGAGGUGGUUA
rnacentral:lncRNA from 1 species